rnacentral:rRNA from 1 species
GGUAGGACUACCCGCUGAACUUAAGCAUAUCAAUAAGCGGAG